rnacentral:lncRNA from 1 species
CGGCACCUCUGCAACUUGCGUAACUCUGUAAUGCAGCUGUGUAGAUUGCAGCGUGAUGGAAAGUUCUCCUCAUCCUUUGGGUGCAGAAGUGCCUCCAGGGAAGGCUGGGCAAAAACCCUUGGCUGCCUCCUGUGCUGGAGCCCCACAGGUGUCCCCGGGUGGCUCUUGUCUUUAUUGACUUCACCAAAAAGACCAUUCAGUUCAGUACUUUGUCUGAAAUGUAUUUUCAUGCUUUCUAUUAAGGUCCUGAGGAAUGGAAAGAGGCAUCAAAAACUGGAAAAUAUCCGCAGAGGCUCUCUCAUGUCCUGAAGAAAAUGAUGAAGGAGAAGGCAGCACAUGAGACAGACAGAGAGCCUGUGCACAGGGAUGCAUUUCAGCAAGGCAGCCGUCGCACACUGCACGUCCCUGCAGGGGAAGCAGAGGCCAAGCACACAACUGGCGCUCCAGAGCUGUCAGAGCCCGGGAAAGCCCAACACAACUGGAUCUAUGGUUUUUUUCUGAAGAAUCCAGGUGUGGAUGGUGAAGGACGUGCAAACGCCGAGCAAGUUAAAGAUGCACAGAAGUUGUACCUGGAACUUGCCGCAUCUGUCCCGGUUUCCCUAUUGCUAGCGAUGAUUCUGUGCUGUCUUCUUUUCUGGUGGUGCAGGAAGAGAAAGCAGUGAGUUGUUGUUCACCCCCACCCUCAUCCGGCCCAACUCUUUACUGUAGGGCUGCCGUGAGCCAGGAGGCAUUUCUAGUGAAAGCAGCUUUGGCCCAUUCUUCCUUCUGGGCCCGAGACAGGCUGGGAGCCAAGGGUGGCUCUUUGCC